UACGGAGGGUGCGAGCGUUGUCCGGAAUCACUGGGCGUAAAGGGCGCGUAGGCGGCUUCUCAAGCGUGUGGUGAAAGUCCGGGGCUCAACCCCGGAUCGGCCGUGCGGACUGGGGAGCUCGAGUUCUGUAGAGGCGGGUGGAAUUCCGGGUGGUAGCGGUGGAAUGCGCAGAUAUCAGGAGGAACACCGGUGGCGAAGGCGGGUCUCUGGGCCGAUACUGACGCUGAGGAGCGAAAGCGUGGGGAGCGAACAGG
rnacentral:rRNA from 1 species